AGAGUUUGAUCCUGGCUCAGCCUGAACGCUGGCGGCGUGGCUAAGACAUGCAAGUCGUACGGGACCCGCAAGGGUUCAGUGGCGGACGGGCGAGUAAUGAAUCGCUAAUGUACCCCAGAGUCUGGGAUAGCUGACCGAAAGGUCAGGUAAUACCAGAUGAUAUAUCCGGUUGGCGUCAACUGGAUCUCAAAGGGCAAUCGCUCUGGGAGCAGGCGAUUUCGUAUCAGCUUGUUGGUGAGGUAACGGCUCACCAAGGCGACGACGCGUAGCUGGUCUGAGAGGACGGCCAGCCACAUUGGGACUGAGACACUGCCCAGACUCCUACGGGGGGCUGCAGUAACGAAUCUUUCGCAAUGCACGCAAGUGUGACGGAGCGACGCCGCGUGUGGGACGAAGUCCUUCGGGAUGUAAACCACUGUCAGGGGUUAGAAAGUUCUGAUCAACCCCAGAGGAAGAGACGGCUAACUCUGUGCCAGCAGCCGCGGUAAUACAGAGGUCUCGAGCGUUAGGCGGAAUCACUGGGCUUAAAGCGUGUGUAGGUGGAUGCCUAAGUACCUUGUGAAAUCCCACGGCUUAACCGUGGAACUGCUUGGUAUACUGGGUGUCUUGAGUCACUCAGGGGCGAGCGGAACAAAUGGUGGAGCGGUGAAAUGCGUAGAUAUCAUUUGGAACGCCAAUGGUGAAAACAGCUCGCUGGGGGUGCACUGACACUGAGACACGAAAGCCAGGGGAGCGAACGGGAUUAGAUACCCCGGUAGUCCUGGCCGUAAACGAUGUCGACUAGAUCGUGGUGGCUCUGACGUCAUCACGGUC
rnacentral:rRNA from 1 species